rnacentral:tRNA from 1 species
GGCGCUCAAUCGGGGGAUCUGACUACGGAUCAGAAGGUUACAGGUUUGAAUCCUGUCGGGGUCA